rnacentral:rRNA from 1 species
AACGAACGCUGGCGGCAGGCUUAACACAUGCAAGUCGAACGCCCCGCAAGGGGAGUGGCAGACGGGUGAGUAACGCGUGGGAACAUACCCUUUCCUGCGGAAUAGCUCUGGGAAACUGGAAUUAAUACCGCAUACGCCCUACGGGGGAAAGAUUUAUCGGGGAAGGAUUGGCCCGCGUUGGAUUAGCUAGUUGGUGGGGUAAAGGCCUACCAAGGCGACGAUCCAUAGCUGGUCUGAGAGGAUGAUCAGCCACAUUGGGACUGAGACACGGCCCAAACUCCUACGGGAGGCAGCAGUGGGGAAUAUUGGACAAGGGGCGGAAGCCUGAUCCAGCCAUGCCGCGUGAGUGAUGAAGGCCUUAGGGUUGUAAAGCUCUUUCACCGAUGAAGAUAAUGACGGUAGUCGGAGAAGAAGCCCCGGCUAACUUCGUGCCAGCAGCCGCAGUAAUAC